rnacentral:lncRNA from 1 species
ACGCUUGCAGGUGACAAGGUUCCCACCAUUGAAACCAGCUUAACGCUCUUCCAUCCAAAGCUACCACCACCACUUGUAGCUUCUCUUCCUCCAUCGCUCACUUGAUGCGAAAAUACCUUUCCAGUUUGUUGACCCAGCCAAACGCAUCUUCACUUCCAUCAUAGACUGGAAUUUCCAUCUUGCGCCAGCGAUUCGCACCUUGCGCCGUCGUCUCCGCGUCUUGCACCGUUGUCGUCUCCGGCGUCGCUUGCGUCGCCUCCUCCUCCUCACGGUUGCACGACAACCCUUCCAAUCGCGCCUCCACUUGCCUCAAUUGUUCUUCAUCUCCUGCUCGGUUUGCAUCGCGAUUCCUUCGAUCUUCCUCGCGGUUCCGAUCCAGAACCUCCAAGAUCCGCUCCAUGUUGCGCUCCACAUUCUCGAUUCUUGCCUCCAUUCUGCUCUUGACCAUAGAAAUUCGAUACCACAGCUCCUGGAUGGAGCUCUGAUACCAAUGAUAAACUCAAGAGAAAACUGGGAAGAAUUGUAUUGGAAACUCUCUCUGAAACCAAGAAGAUACAGAGGAAAUUCACAAUCUUACAGAGAAAACCACUGGUUAUUCGAGAGACCAGACUCUCC